GAAAGUGUCUUGUACAAUUUCAGAUUCAGAAACCCUAGUUUCUCCCACGACAAGCUGUUCUUUCUCCUCUCGUCUCUCAGAGCUGCUUGGAAUCUUUCGCGUCUUCUCGCAAGAUUAUAUAAGAAAUGUCGCGAGUGUACGUUGGGAAUUUGGACCCGCGGGUUACUGAGCGUGAACUUGAGGAUGAGUUCCGUGCUUUUGGAAUUAUCAGGAGUGUUUGGGUUGCUCGUAGACCACCUGGUUAUGCUUUUCUUGAUUUUGAAGAUCCUAGGGAUGCUCGUGAUGCCAUACGUGCAUUAGAUGGCAAGAAUGGCUGGAGGGUUGAACAGUCUCACAACCGAGGUGAACGUGGAGGUGGUGGUCGUGGUGGUGACCGUGGAGGUGGCCGCGGUGGUUCUGAUUUGAAGUGCUAUGAGUGUGGUGAGCCUGGUCACUUUGCACGUGAAUGCCGUAACCGUGGUGGCACUGGGAGGCGUCGCAGCAGGAGCCGUAGUCGCAGUCCAAGAUACAGAAGGAGCCCAAGCUAUGGACGGAGGAGUUACAGCCCUCGUGCAAGAUCUCCCCCUCCUCCAAGACGCCGCAGUCCUUCUCCUCCUCCACCCCGUGGUCGCAGCUACAGUAGAUCACCACCUCCAUACAGAGCACGUGAGGAAGUGCCAUAUGCUAAUGGAAAUGGACUGAAAGAUAGACGCAGAAGCAGGAGCUGAGUUGUUUUGCUGGAUAACGAGUUUGUGGGAUGAUCAAGAAGUAUUACUUACUUUGGAAGAGAAGACGAGUGGGCCUAAUGGAAAUUACUAUCAUCUAUGAAUUUCACAUAGUUGCAUGACCUGCUAUGGGAAAAGCUAAACCACGAUUGUGGAUCCCUACAUGGCUUGGUUCAUCUUCGUCUUCAUCUUGGACUCUAGUGUUAGAUGUUACCUUCUUCGCAUGGCUUAUCUUUUCAUGAACAUGAGCUACUACAUCACUCGGCAGGUUAGGAGUCUUAGAAGCACUGUUGAGCUACAUCAUCUUCAUCUUUGACUCUAGUGCUUGCCACCUUUUAGACCCAUUUUAGAAGCCUCUCUUUUUGAAUGUCUUGCAUUAUGUUUAGCUUAAUUGUUGGUAUUUGAUCAGUGAAACGACUUCAUUUGUGUCGUUAGCUUAGAUUUUGUCCAUAUCUUGUUUUGUAUACAAGUCAAGAAUGGACAAGUUAUUCUGUUGAUAUUGUAAUAAUGUCCAAUUAAGGACCCAUACUGACAAGUCAAUACUGGACAAGUUGCUUGGUUUUGUGUUAAUUUCACUGAGUAGUUGUGAAAUACUGAAA